AAUGACUACGGCAUCGCUCCUUUCUCCUGAGGGAUCUGAAGGUGUUGUCCGCGGAGCUGCUGUGACGACAACACCCCACAUUGUUCCCCAUACACUCAGCCUCCCUUGCUGUGGGUGAGGCCACGUGGCCAUUUCUGGCCGAUAGACUGCAAGGGGAAAAGCUAUGCCACUUCUACCAAAGCAGGUAGAACAGAGCACAUCUUCACCUUUGUGUCCUGCCCUAUGUGAGGACCUCAGAAUCCUCACACAGGGAGCGUGCAGCUGCUGCUGGUGGAGCCCAGCAGACAGACCCCGAGUGACUGUGGAUUCAUGAGUUACUGACCCGGGAUUUACACAGAUAUAGAAUUAUCAAAUACAUUUAUAAAUUACUAUACCUGAAUUAGGUAUGUCCAAAAGUUAAGUAGAGACACUCAUGAUAUAUAAAAGACUCAAACCCAACUUCUAGAGGAAAAAAGCUACAACGUUUAAAAU
rnacentral:lncRNA from 1 species